rnacentral:lncRNA from 1 species
GGUUCGAAUCUCGUGACUACCGUUAAGGUUUGAUUUGGGUUUUACACAAAUACGUAUUCCAUUAUGUUAAACUAUAUGUUUAACUACCCGGAUACUCCCAACUACACACUUACAAUCAAACAAACUAUUACUUCAUCAGAAGAUUCAGAACAAUAAAGUAUACGCUUAAUUAUCAGAAGGAAUAGUAUCCAGAAGCUUGUUAAAUCAAUACUGCAUGCUUAUACUGUAAUUACAGUAUAUGGGAGUAAGAAUUGGAUCCGGCACCGAAGGCAUCAAGAAGUGGCUUAUUUUAUUAAUGAAAUCAAAUUAAGAAAUAUUGUUUUAUGUAAAUCAAAAUUAUCUUUAUUAAAGCUACCAUUAUAAAACAUAGGUUUAUCCCAUCUAUUUAAAUAAAAUCCGGUGUUUUCUAAACACUGAUAUUUUUCCUAACUCACGGUCCUGAUGAAAUUUCCGCUGCAAUGUUUUUCAAAAU